GACGAACGCUGGCGGCGUGCUUAACACAUGCAAGUCGAACGGAAAGGCCCUGCUUUUGUGGGGUGCUCGAGUGGCGAACGGGUGAGUAACACGAGAGUAACCUGCCCUUGACUUUGGGAUAACUUCAGGAAACUGGGGCUAAUACCGGAUAGGAGCUCCUGCUGCAUGGGGGGGGUUGGAAAGUUUCGGCGGUUGGGGAUGGACUCGCGGCUUAUCAGCUUGUUGGUGGGGUAGUGGCUUACCAAGGCUUUGACGGGUAGCCGGCCUGAGAGGGUGACCGGCCACAUUGGGACUGCGAUACGGCCCAGACUCCUACGGGAGGCAGCAGUGGGGAAUAUUGCACAAUGGGCGGACGCCUGAUGCAGCAACGCCGCGUGCGGGAUGACGGCCUUCGGGUUGUAAACCGCUUUCGCCUGUGACGAAGCGUGAGUGACGGUAAUGGGUAAAGAAGCACCGGCUAACUACGUG
rnacentral:rRNA from 1 species